AUUGAACGCUGGCGGAAUGCUUUACACAUGCAAGUCGAACGGCUGCACGGACUUCGGUCUGGUGGCGAGUGGCGAACGGGUGAGUAAUGUAUCGGAACGUGUCCAGUCGUGGGGGAUAACGUAGUGAAAAUUACGCUAAUACCGCAUACGAUCUCGGGAUGAAAGCGGGGGAUUGCAAGACCUCGCGCGAUUUGAGCGGCCGAUAUCAGAUUAGGUAGUUGGUGGGGUAAGGGCCCAUCAAGCCAACGAUCUGUAGGUGGUCUGAGAGGACGACCAGCCACACUGGAACUGAGACAGGGUCCAGAUGCCGACGGGAGGCAGCAGUGGGGAAUUUUGGCCAGUGGGCGAAAGCCUGAUCCACCCAUUCCGCGUGCAGGAUGAAGGCCCUCGGGUUGUACACUGCUUUUGUACAGAACGAAAAGGUUUCUACUAAUACUAGGAGCUCAUGACGGUACUGUAAGAAUAAGAACCGGCUAACUACGUGCCAGCCGCCGCCGUAA
rnacentral:rRNA from 1 species